rnacentral:rRNA from 1 species
GAUGAACGCUGGCGGCGUGCCUAAUACAUGCAAGUCGAGCGAACAGACGAGGAGCUUGCUCCUCUGACGUUAGCGGCGGACGGGUGAGUAACACGUGGAUAACCUACCUAUAAGACUGGGAUAACUUCGGGAAACCGGAGCUAAUACCGGAUAAUAUAUUGAACCGCAUGGUUCAAUAGUGAAAGACGGUUUUGCUGUCACUUAUAGAUGGAUCCGCGCCGCAUUAGCUAGUUGGUAAGGUAACGGCUUACCAAGGCAACGAUGCGUAGCCGACCUGAGAGGGUGAUCGGCCACACUGGAACUGAGACACGGUCCAGACUCCUACGGGAGGCAGCAGUAGGGAAUCUUCCGCAAUGGGCGAAAGCUUGACGGAGCAACGCCGCGUGAGUGAUGAAGGUCUUCGGAUCGUAAAACUCUGUUAUUAGGGAAGAACAAAUGUGUAUGUAACUAUGCACGUCUUGACGGUACCUAAUCAGAAAGCCACGGCUAACUACGUG